CCGCGUUCCUUCUCCGUGUCUGUGGUUUAUUCUUGGUGGGAGGCGCGCUGUUUGUUCGGCCGCCCCCCCCUGCGUGGAAGUGCGCCCGGACUCCCAACCCACGCGGCUCCGGCGGCUGCUGCUCGGAACGCCGGCAAAACCCUCGCCGCAAAAGCGAGAAAAAGUCCGAGCGCAGCCCGAACUCGAUUUGCAUAAUUGUCGGGAGUUUGAAUUACUGAUUACAACUUGUAAAACAACGCUGAUGGAGCGUCCCCGAUGCGCGGCGGUGCGGGCGGUGCCGCGGCUUUCAGGCAGCGCGCUUCCAUCCGACGGCACAGAGCUCUGCCCCCGCAACAGCCCCAUCCCUGCGGCGCUGCGCCUCGGACAAAAUGAACGUCGUGCUCAAAAGCAGCGACAUCUCGCAGUGUUCGAAGGUCCGGAUCACAGCUCGUUUACUCGAGAGCGGCGGCUGCGGGUUUGCUGUGCUCGGGACAAAGCCGAGUCCGGUCAGUGCGCAGCUCUCGUGCCCGGCAGCUGCUCCGAAAGGCUGCGGGCGGAACCACGCCGGGAUCCCGACCUGAACGAACCUCCGCCACUUUUUUUUCCUGAAGAUCGGGGAAGAAAUAAUAAUAAUAAUAAUAAUAAUAAUAAUAAUAAUAAUAAUAAUAAUAAAACCACCGCCAAUAACAAUUAAAACCAAACACCCUCAGCACCUCUCCCUGAUUAAAUGAACGAUCCAAAAAUAAAUCCGAGGCGGACGGGGCUGCUGCAGGUAACCGUUGGCGGUGUUAUCAGCCCGACCUGGCACGCAGGUGCUGAUUUGCAGCGUUGCGCUGAGCCCAGCAGCAGCGACUUCGCAUUAUCAUUUUUGGUGGAGUAUCUAUUUAUUUUUUUAACGACGGUGUUUUUCUUCCAGGGAUGUUUCUUUGAAAUGCAGUUCACGACGAUUAUUAGCGAGUGUGCUCGCGCGGCUCCUGGCGUCAUUAAGACUAGGAAUCUAAAUAAUAAAAGACAGGGGGAGCUUAAAGUUCAUUUGUAUUAAAGGGACAAGAUGGAUUUAAAGAGAAACGAGGAGGGGAACCGUCGAGCUCCCCAGGUUUGGGAAGAUCGCCCUCCUUUCUCCCGAAGGCAUCCUGCGGUGCAACAACGUGGGCGUUUUUACCAGUUUCCCUUCUGCUCGCAAACGUCACACUGAGGGGCGACGCAGUUUUCCUCUUUUUUGGUGUUUUCAAGAUCUGAACACCUGCGUUUUGUUUACUUCAGCGGACCAAAGAACGCAGACUAAUUCGGCUCACUAUUUGAUUACGUAUACCUAUAUGUAUAAUAUAGAGAAGUAGAGGCGUGAAAGAGGGAUUUAGAAGAAAUUACCAAAACAAAAGGACGCCUUGGCUUCCUAGAAAACCAAGAGAGCAGAGGAGGCUGAGCACGGGGUGUGGAGCGCAGCCCUCGAGCCGCCCCUCCCGUAGAGAUCCCCGGACCCCGCAGCGGCGCUGCCGAGCCCGGCCCGGCGCCGGUGCUGCUAUCGAGGGAUGCUCGGGGCACCUCGGGCCUCUUCCCAAGGUUGGGAGGGGGAAGGGAACGCUGCGAAGCGUGGCUUUCUGCAGCCCCCCCACGUUCACACCUAACCCGGAGAGAAGCGGGCUGGGCGGGAGGCGAUGGAGCAGCUGGGAGGAGAGGCGGCUGCUGGCAGGUGGCAGCUUUCCUGACUUAUUAAAAGGGGGGGGGGGAGAAAGGAAAGGAAAAAAAAAAAACCCAGUACCCUUAUUUGCUGACGUCGCCUACUUGCAAGGAGGGCGGGCUGCCGGCUGCUUGCAGGCUCAGCUCCCCCUCACUGCUCUCUUUUUACGAGGCUGCAUCCUCCCGAGGGGCCGUAAAGCACCCCCAGGUGUGCGCUCUCUCGGGGAGCACAGCAGAGCCCGCUGUCCCACUCGGUAGUUUUCCUAUUUGGCAGCAAUUAUAGGAGAGCGUGGGGAUGCUAAUUGGUUACAUACUCCUUCCUCAAAAAAUUAUUUAAACGCGCACGUAUCUCUGUCCUUAACGCCGCAGAAACCUGCCCGGCUUUUCGCUUCGGCUCCCGCAGAGCAGCAUAAAGACUUCCACGGCCCCGGAGUCGUUCCGUGUGACUCCAUGGCGCGUGUGGGGAGCGCUGGGAGAGCAGAACUUCAGCCCGGCCGGGCUCUAUGGGGGGCUUCCUUGGGCGGGGAUCCGGCUAAGCUCAGAACACAUCGUUGCCGCUCGGACCCGUCCUGCAGGUCUACGGGGGGAAGGAGUCACGAGCACCUGGGCGCAGAGCAGCGCGCCUGCGCAGCCCCCCCCGAGAUACCAACCAAACAAAAACGCCCGCCCUGGAGGUGCAGGGGGGGAUUUCCCCGUGGCUGCCGGCACCGGGAGCAUCCCUGACCGGCGGGAGUCUCUCUACGCGCGUGGCGGCCCGGCAGCUUUGGCUCCGGCGCCAGCGGCGCACCGGGAUCCCUCCCGCACCCCGCGAGGUGGCAGCGGGUUUUACCCCCGGCCAUCAGAACCACAGCGGCGCCGGAGGUGAGGCGGGACAGGGAACUGCGAGCAUCCUUUGCCCCCAGCUCAUAGCUGUGGGCUGGGAACGUGCGGUCGGUGCCCUUUGCCUGCCUCUCUGCCAGCCCUCACUAAUGCAGGAGGCGAGGGGAAAGCGUGCCCGCAUCGCAGCUGCUUCUUCCCAACCUAUUAAUUUGCUUAAUAAACGCGAAGUCAGCUCUGCUUCCUCCCCGCUCUCUCCCAGAGGAGCAGAGUCCCCCGGCCAUAGCGUGCUGCCCGCCAGGAGGCUGUGCUUAGCAAUGCAUGGGCAGAAGUGACAGACUUUGACACCCGGCACUUCGGGGCCCUAGGUUAGAUGUGGCAUGGCAUGUGGCAGAGGCUUAGCAGCGAGGCACGGCUGCCCGGGGCUCCUGCACGGAGCUGCACGCACAAAGUUUUGUGCACGGCAGGAGAUGGGGCUGAGCCACAGCACGGGGAGGGCGAGCAAGAGCCCAGCUCUCAGCCUGGCCGUGCCUCGGAGGCAGGCGAUGACCAUGAAUGUCACUGCAGCUGCAUUUACUUCCAUCUCAUCCUUUCAGUGAAAGCAACAUUUGCAGUGCUGGGUUCCAGCAGGUGGGAAUGAGGGAGAAAGGGGUUAUGCUCCCCAAGA